GCUGGGCGCAGUGGUGCACACCUGUAAUCCCAGCCGCUGGGGAGGCUGAGGUAGGAGUAUCCCAAGUUCAAAGCCAGCCUCAGCAAAAGCCAGGUGCUAAGCAACUCAGUGAGACCCUGUCUCUA
rnacentral:sRNA from 1 species